UAGGUUCGAUCCCCUCGACCGCCCGAUGCCGCCGGUGAGCCCCUACAACGAAUUGUGUUUGUACUGGUCCGUAAGAUGUCGUAUUCAAUUAGCCACUGGAAGGACCCAUCGCGUGAAGAACGGAGCUGCCGUAGUUUGGUAUUUGACCGCCAACUGCUGCCGAUUCCGCCGUUGUUCGUCGUCGAUAAUCUCCUCCAUGGCAGGCAGCUCACUCAUCAUCCCUUCAGCCUGCAAUUUUGUUCAUAUAUAUGUGCGUUUCAAUGGAGAAUUUGUUUGGUGAUACAAGUGAUACAACCUAUAUGUGCACUUAUGUUUCCCUGUGUACAUUUAACCGUGUAAUGUGUUGAAAUGCAUUUAAGUAUUAUCUAUAAUGAAUACAACCGAACCUUGUGUUUUUU